CACAUGCUGUGAGCUCGAUGAGUAGGGCGGGACACGUGGUAUCCUGUCUGAAUAUGGGGGGACCAUCCUCCAAGGCUAAAUACUCCUGACUGACCGAUAGUGAACCAGUACCGUGAGGGAAAGGCGAAAAGAACCCCGGCGAGGGGAGUGAAAAAGAACCUGAAACCGUGUACGUACAAGCAGUGGGAGCACAGAGCAAUCUGUGUGACUGCGUACCUUUUGUAUAAUGGGUCAGCGACUUAUAUUCUGUAGCAAGGUUAACCGAAUAGGGGAGCCGAAGGGAAACCGAGUCUUAACUGGGCGUUAAGUUGCAGGGUAUAGACCCGAAACCCGGUGAUCUAGCCAUGGGCAGGUUGAAGGUUGGGUAACACUAACUGGAGGACCGAACCGACUAAUGUUGAAAAAUUAGCGGAUGACUUGUGGCUGGGGGUGAAAGGCCAAUCAAACCGGGAGAUAGCUGGUUCUCCCCGAAAGCUAUUUAGGUAGCGCCUCGUGAAUUCAUCUCCGGGGGUAGAGCACUGUUUCGGCAAGGGGGUCAUCCCGACUUACCAACCCGAUGCAAACUGCGAAUACCGGAGAAUGUUAUCACGGGAGACACACGGCGGGUGCUAACGUCCGUCGUGAAGAGGGAAACAACCCAGACCGCCAGCUAAGGUCCCAAAGUCAUGGUUAAGUGGGAAACGAUGUGGGAAGGCCCAGACAGCCAGGAUGUUGGCUUAGAAGCAGCCAUCAUUUAAAGAAAGCGUAAUAGCUCACUGGUCGAGUCGGCCUGCGCGGAAGAUGUAACGGGGCUAAACCAUGCACCGAAGCUGCGGCAGCGACGCUUAUGCGUUGUUGGGUAGGGGAGCGUUCUGUAAGCCUGUGAAGGUGUACUGUGAGGUAUGCUGGAGGUAUCAGAAGUGCGAAUGCUGACAUAAGUAACGAUAAAGCGGGUGAAAAGCCCGCUCGCCGGAAGACCAAGGGUUCCUGUCCAACGUUAAUCGGGGCAGGGUGAGUCGACCCCUAAGGCGAGGCCGAAAGGCGUAGUCGAUGGGAAACAGGUUAAUAUUCCUGUACUUGGUGUUACUGCGAAGGGGGGACGGAGAAGGCUAUGUUGGCCGGGCGACGGUUGUCCCGGUUUAAGCGUGUAGGCUGGUUUUCCAGGCAAAUCCGGAAAAUCAAGGCUGAGGCGUGAUGACGAGGCACUACGGUGCUGAAGCAACAAAUGCCCUGCUUCCAGGAAAAGCCUCUAAGCAUCAGGUAACAUCAAAUCGUACCCCAAACCGACACAGGUGGUCAGGUAGAGAAUACCAAGGCGCUUGAGAGAACUCGGGUGAAGGAACUAGGCAAAAUGGUGCCGUAACUUCGGGAGAAGGCACGCUGAUAUGUAGGUGAAGUCCCUCGCGGAUGGAGCUGAAAUCAGUCGAAGAUACCAGCUGGCUGCAACUGUUUAUUAAAAACACAGCACUGUGCAAACACGAAAGUGGACGUAUACGGUGUGACGCCUGCCCGGUGCCGGAAGGUUAAUUGAUGGGGUCAGCGCAAGCGAAGCUCUUGAUCGAAGCCCCGGUAAACGGCGGCCGUAACUAUAACGGUCCUAAGGUAGCGAAAUUCCUUGUCGGGUAAGUUCCGACCUGCACGAAUGGCGUAAUGAUGGCCAGGCUGUCUCCACCCGAGACUCAGUGAAAUUGAACUCGCUGUGAAGAUGCAGUGUACCCGCGGCAAGACGGAAAGACCCCGUGAACCUUUACUAUAGCUUGACACUGAACAUUGAGCCUUGAUGUGUAGGAUAGGUGGGAGGCUUGGAAGUGU
rnacentral:rRNA from 1 species